rnacentral:rRNA from 1 species
UACGUAGGGUGCGAGCGUUAAUCGGAAUUACUGGGCGUAAAGCGUGCGCAGGCGGUUUUGUAAGCCAGAUGUGAAAUCCCCGGGCUCAACCUGGGAAUGGCAUUUGGGACUGCAAGGCUUGAGUGCGGCAGAGGAGACUGGAAUUCCUGGUGUAGCAGUGAAAUGCGUAGAUAUCAGGAGGAAUACGAUGGCGAAGGCAGGUCUCUGGGCUGACACUGACGCUCAUGCACGAAAGCGUGGGGAGCAACAGG